AACGAACGCUGGCGGCAUGCCUAACACAUGCAAGUCGAACGAGAUCUUCGGGUCUAGUGGCGCACGGGUGCGUAACGCGUGGGAAUCUGCCCUAUGGAUAGGAAUAACAGUUGAAAAGGACUGCUAAUACCAGAUGACGACGAAAGACCAAAGAUGUAUGGCCCGAGGAUGAGCCCGCGAAGGAUUAGCUAGGUGGAGUGGUAAAGGCGCACCAAGGCGACGAUCCUUAGCUGGUCUGAGAGGAUGAUCAGCCACACUGGGACUGAGACACGGCCCAGACUCCUACGGGAGGGAGCAGUGGGGAAUAUUGGACAAUGGGCGAAAGCCUGAUCCAGCAAUGCCGCGUGAGUGAUGAAGGCCUUAGGGUUGUAAAGCUCUUUUACCCGGGAUGAUAAUGACAGUACCGGGAGAAUAAGCUCCGGCUAACUCCGUGCCAGCCGCCGCGGUAA
rnacentral:rRNA from 1 species